UACGAAGGGGGCUAGCGUUGUUCGGAAUUACUGGGUGUAAAGGGUUCGUAGGCGGUGUGGCAAGUCGGGAGUGAAAUCUCUGGGCUCAACUCAGAGACUGCUUCCGAAACUGCUGUGCUGGAGUGUGGGAGAGGCGCGUGGAAUUGCAGGUGUAGCGGUGAAAUGCGUAGAUAUCUGCAGGAACACCCGUGGCGAAAGCGGCGCGCUGGACCACUACUGACGCUGAGGAACGAAAGCUAGGGGAGCAAACAGG
rnacentral:rRNA from 1 species